CUUUAAAACUCCCUCCAAAAUUACCUCCAUCCAGGUUGGCAGAAACAAAAUUAUUAUUUUCAGAAAGUAUAUUCAGGGUGCUCCAACGGAAAACGAACAGCAAUAUUCAUAGAAGUCUCAUUUAAAACCUUGAUUUCCAAAAUGGUAUCCAAAUAGGUGAGGAUAUAUUUUAUACAUAAACUCUCUCUUUUCGCAUUAACCGUGCAGAUCUCUAAUUGGUGGCUAAAAAGCGUUCAUCACUACAGAGCAUAAAAAAUUUGUUGCUCAGUCCUAUGACCAGCCCUUUACGACCGUUCCUUGCUGAACGUAAUGACCUCCUCCGUUGGAUAACUGAGUUGAAUGAAAUCAAUAUGACAAUUCAUAGAUGAAUGAAAUCUAAAAUGUUUUUUUACUGCUGAACUUUGGAUUGUUUUAACAGGAAUCCAAAAUGUUUGAAAUGCUGAGUGAUUGGAUUCGCCUCAUUUUCCUUCUAAAAAAUCACGUCCUUCUAUUUUCCUUAGAUUCGCAUAUCCCCGACUCAUUUUACCACGAGAUGUGAACCAAGCAUAUACACAUUUUAUUCGUAUCUCAGGAUUUGGAUUUGGGAGCUACCA
rnacentral:sRNA from 1 species